rnacentral:rRNA from 1 species
UACGUAGGGGGCAAGCGUUGUCCGGAUUUACUGGGCGUAAAGAGCGUGUAGGCGGCCACGCAGGUCCGUUGUGAAAACUCGAGGCUCAACCUCGAGACGUCGGCGGAAACCAUCUGGCUAGAGUCCGGAAGAGGAGAGUGGAAUUCCUGGUGUAGCGGUGAAAUGCGUAGAUAUCGUAAGGAAGACCAGUGGCGAAGGCGGGUCUCUGGACAGUUCCUGACGCUGAGGCACGAAGGUCAGGGGAGCAAACGGG